CUCAAUUCUUGCUCCAUUUUGUAUACAAUUUUAGUGUAAAACUAGAUUUCAAAUGAAUCAUAGACCUAAACAAAAGCCCAAACUAGAAAUUCUAAAAAGAAGAAGGAAAAAUUCUUUGCUCUCUUGGAAUAGGCGAAAUUUCUUAGAUCAUAAUAUAAACCAUGAAAGAAAUUUUCAAAAUGAAAUUUAUUAAAAUUAAAACUGCUCUGAAAGACACUCGUUCAAGAAUCAAAAAGCAAUUCACAGAUUAGGAGAAACUUUCUAAUAUAUACAUCUGACCAAGGACAUAUCUAGAAUAUAUGAAUAAUGCUUAGAGCUCAAUGAUGAAAAAUCAAGUAGCCCAAUAAAUAUUGGGCAAAAGAUUUGAAUAAAUUUCUCCACCACUGCAGAACUGGUGAUUGAACCCAGGGGUGCUUCACCACUGAGCUACAUUCCAGCCCUUUCUAUUUUAUUUUGGAACAGGGUCCUGCUACAUAGCCCAGGCUGGUCUUGUACUUGGAAUCCUGCCUCAGAUUCCUGAGUAGCUACAGACAUGUACCACCAUGCCCGGCUUUGUAUAGAGUCUUUAUAAAAGAUACUCAAGUUGACAAGAAUGCUAAACAUCCUUAGACAUUAGGAAAGCAAAACACAAGAAACUGCUAUAAAUCCACCAAAAAGGCAUAAAUUGCUUGCAUUAAUCUUUUUUUCUGUUUCCUAUGACAUAACCACAGACUGGGUGAAUUAUUAAGAAAAGAGGUUUAUUUUGGUUUGGUUCUGGAGGUCCAAGGUAGAGGAGCUGCAUUCAAUGAUAGUUUUCUUGUAGGACCUUACUUGGCUAGGUAUAGGAAACACCCAUGUGCCUGUCCCCUCCCCCUGCUCUCUCACUUUAUAUUAUUAUUAUUAUUAUUAUUAUUAUUAGGUACUAGAAAUCAAGCCCAGCCCAGGGAUACUAUAUUGCUGAGCUAUAUUCACAGUCAUGCUCCCAGCUUUUAAAUUUUUUUUAUUUUGAGGCAGGCUCUCACAAAGUUACUGAGGCUGGCUUUAAACUUGUAACCUUCCUGCCUCAGCCUAAUAAGCCACUGGGAUUACAGACAUGUGCAACUGCACCCAGCCUGUCCUCUCUCCUGAUAAAACCACUUGAAUUCAGUCAUGGUAGUUAAUACCCUAUGACCUUAUGCAAGACCCCAUCUCCAAAUACAGUAGAUUAAGCCCACCCUCUUAAUACCCCACAAUGGGGAUUAGAUUUCAACACAUGAAGCACCAAGACACAUUCAAACCACAUACUAAUCAUUGCUACUGCCAAUACCAAGUAUUGGUGAUGACAUGGAGCACCUGGAAUUCCUCACAUAUUGCUGGUAGGAAUGCAAAGUGGUGAGAGCCACUUUGGAAGAUAGUUUGGCAGUUUCUUAUAAAGUUAAAUAUACAUUUACCAUAGGAUCCAGCAAUUCUAUUCCCAGAUAUUUACCCAAAAGAAAUGAAAACAUAACAUACACAUAAAAACGUAUAUGAAUGUUUAUAGCAGCUUUUUGCUUAAUGAUUCCAAACUGGAAAGACCCCAAAUCUUCAGUAGAUGAAAGGAUAUACAAGUGAGUGCAGGAAGCCAGACAUAAAAGAGUACAUAUUAUACUUGUUGCAUAAUUUUAUUCCUGUGAAAUUUUAGAAAAGGUAAAACUAGUUUGUAUGACAAAUAAUUGCCUAGGGUUGAGGCUGGGUGGGAGAGAUGGUUGUGAGAUAGAUCAGUUUGAUUUGCUAAUGUGUACAAGAGAGAUUUUGGGGGGUGAUGGUAAUUGCAUGUAUCUUGAUUGUAGUGUGGUUACACGGCUCUAUGAAGUUGUGACUCAUCAAACUGUGGACCUAAAGUGGGAGCAUUCUGAUAUGUUAAUCAUUUUAUGUGUUUUAUGCAAAUUAUUCCUAAAUAAAAUGUAUAGCAAGAAAAAUAAGUUGUAGGAAAAUAAGAUGAAAUGUUUAUUUUUAUAAAGUAUAAAAAGCUAAUCUAGAUUCCAUCUAAUCUUAGGCCUAAUCUUCAUAUUAUUUCAGUUAAUCUUAGAUGAAAGAUAUCUUAAAUGAAGUAGAUAAUAGAUAAGGUACAUAUUACUAAAAAUUGCAACAUGACAUCAAUUUGAAUAUACAUUUCUAAUUCAGAGAUUUAAAAAUGGAUGAGGAAUGUGUGAUUUAUAAUCAAUGCACAUGUUUGUUUGUAAAUUAUAUUUCUGCUGGGGGUGGGUGGAUAUCUAAUGUCCAGAUAGAUGAUGGUCUUUGUAUGUGGUUUCUUAGUAAAAGAAAGCAGUCUUUGGGAUCAAUUCCAGGUUUGAACAACAACAACAAAAAAAAUGAGAUAUUCUUGGGCAAGAAAGCAGGGAAAUGAUCAAAGAUAACAAAAAUAAUGUUGAAAGGACACAGUGGCCAACUUGAAAGGGCUUCCAUUGGGCAAGGACAGCCAAUGUGAACAUCAAUAAGAAUAAUGGCUCUAUGGGCUGAAAUACAUCACAUGUUUUGAAAAGCCGUUAGUUCCGAAUGUAAUUCCAAACAAAAACGUUUUGGGAUACCUUUGGAAGUCAUUAGGGCACUGACUCAUUUCAUUAUUAUAAAAAUUGAUAAGGAUUAAAAGUCAAGCAUUUAUCACAUCUGGCAUGUACAAAAUUAUUCCAGUUAUUUCCUGUUAUGUAACAAAAUUUAGUAGAUGGCAAUCAUUUUACUCAUGAAUUGGAAAUUUGGGCAGAGUUUGAUUUGACAGUUUUCUU
rnacentral:lncRNA from 1 species